CGCUGGCGGCAGGCUUAACACAUGCAAGUCGAACGGUAACAGGGAUUAGCUUGCUAAUUUGCUGACGAGUGGCGGACGGGUGAGUAAUGCUUGGGAAUCUGGCUUAUGGAGGGGGAUAACUACGGGAAACUGUAGCUAAUACCGCGUAAUAUCGGAAGAUUAAAGGGUGGGACUUUCGAACCACCUGCCAUAAGAUGAGCCCAAGUGGGAUUAGGUAGUUGGUUAGGUAAAGGCUGACCAAGCCGACGAUCUCUAGCUGGUCUGAGAGGAUGACCAGCCACACUGGAACUGAGACACGGUCCAGACUCCUACGGGAGGCAGCAGUGGGGAAUAUUGCACAAUGGGGGGAACCCUGAUGCAGCCAUGCCGCGUGAAUGAAGAAGGCCUUCGGGUUGUAAAGUUCUUUCGGUGACGAGGAAGGUUGAUAGGUUAAUAGCCUAUCAAAUUGACGUUAAUCACAGAAGAAGCACCGGCUAACUCCGUGCCAGCAGCCGCGGUAAUACGGGGGGUGCGAGCGUUAAUCGGAAUAACUGGGCGUAAAGGGCACGCAGGCGGUGACUUAAGUGAGAUGUGAAAGCCCCGAGCUUAACUUGGGAAUUGCAUUUCAUACUGGGUCGCUAGAGUACUUUAGGGAGGGGUAGAAUUCCACGUGUAGCGGUGAAAUGCGUAGAGAUGUGGAGGAAUACCGAAGGCGAAGGCAGCCCCUUGGGAAUGUACUGACGCUCAUGUGCGAAAGCGUGGGGAGCAAACAGGAUUAGAUACCCUGGUAGUCCACGCUGUAAACGAUGUCGAUUUGGGGAUUGGGCUUUGAGCUUGGUGCCCGUAGCUAACGUGAUAAAUCGACCGCCUGGGGAGUACGGCCGCAAGGUUAAAACUCAAAUGAAUUGACGGGGGCCCGCACAAGCGGUGGAGCAUGUGGUUUAAUUCGAU
rnacentral:rRNA from 1 species